rnacentral:tRNA from 1 species
AAAGAUAGAGCUUUGAUUAAAAGCGAUUCAUUUACGCUGAGUAGAAACUGUUAUAGUUGUCUUUA